ACAUGUUAUUUUAUGUAAAUCAUGAUUUUUGAAAAAAAGUUAAAUUUGGGGUAUGAAACAUGGGGCAACCUGGGUUCAAACAAGAAGUUAUGAAAUUUAAGUGGAAUUUAAAUGUGCUGGGGAGAAAUGGCGCAGUAUGCUUCGAAAUUGAUUAAUCAAUUUUGCUCAAUGUUAAUGUGGAGCAAAAUGGUAAUAAUACAAUUCAAAUCAGUUCUAUCUUGUUUAUUUUUCCUUUUUUUUUGCUUAAUUUAUCCAGGCCUGCACUACAGAUUUUGAGUGACUUCCCUUACCACAACUGUGGCGGCUCGUCAGAUCAGCUCAGAAAAUGGCUCAACCAACAAUCAAGUUGAUUAAUGUCAACCAGACUAGAUCAGAAUUAGGUCUACGCUCCAGAUUUUAACUUGCUUUCUACAAUACCCCCAACUACUGUGUUGGAUCAGCUUAGCUCACCCCUGGCCUAACACUGACAGGCAAUUAAGAAUUUAAGCUCGUUUCAACUUAGUACAGGUCAGAACAAGCCUGAUGAUGCUCACUCAUAUGAACCCCUGUGGAGCCCUCGCUACCAGGACCAAUCACACCGACCCAUGGCACUGACGACGAGACUGCGGCAGCUCCGGACGUCAGAUCAGGGGCCCGUUUCAUGAAGAGUUACAACAAAUAGCAUUGCCAUUAUGGCAACUACCAUCAUGACAAGGCUGAAUAGGCAGUUAUUAUAAAGAUUUCCAUGGAAGUUACAAUAAUGGCAAUGAUGAGAUAGUUGUAAGUCUUUAUGAAUCGGGUCCCGGAUCGUCGGGUCAGCUCACCUGCAAAUCUUGGACGUGUAGCAAACAGACCAAUCGGAACCGAUCCAGCACCUUGAAAGGAGUACAUCACCAGCGCACAAUCCACAACAUUGCAAAGAGACAGAUGCCAUUGUGUUCAGCCACUGUAAAGCAGGACUGUAGAGGGAUCAAAAGUGGUGAUGUAACAGCAAGGAUGUUGCAGAGAAUGACUUCAGGAUGUUUGGGGAGAUAUAUUAGCAUCAGAGAAUGCAAGCAGAGAUAUCCAUCCAUGAAAGCAGAGAUUUCUAUCUAUGAGAGCAAAACUGUAAUGGGUUCAUCUAGCAGAAGUGGCCCAACAGGAAGGACUGAAUAUGGAGUCAGAUUACAAAGAUGUCUUCGUCAUGAUGGAGGAUAAAGUCAAUAAACUUGGGUCAAACGUCAAGAUAAUGCCCAGAAAUAAGACACCCGAAUCAGUGCUGUAGCCAUCAUAACAAGGGAUAGAAUGCAGGCUAGAAGAGGGACAAAGGAAUGAUGACCUCCUUGUCAUCUUGCCAAACAUAAAGGACCUAUCAACCUUUCAACAGAGGCUAAGGAGAACAUGAAGGCUGUUUUACACCAUCCAAUGAACUCAUGUCACCCAGUGUAAAACUGGAUUCUUCACCCCCUAUCUGGUGUUAACCAUCUUCCAAGCAUCAAUCGGACAGAGUGUCUACCAGAGACAAGGACAUGCCACCAAUCUUCAAGUCUUCAUCUACCAGGGAUGUCUGAUAUUACUGGUCUUUUGCCUGAAGUAUGAUCAACAUAAGAAGGGAUUUGGCACCAAACUCUUCCAUAUACAACCUCCAUCUUGUGUUACUAAUGUUCCUCGUAUUCAUGAUGGAGGAAGUUUACAGGGAUUUGCUCUUGACACCAGUCAUUAUCUACACUCUAUGUCUGGU
rnacentral:lncRNA from 1 species